UACGUAGGGUGCAAGCGUUGUCCGGAUUUAUUGGGUUUAAAGGGUGCGUAGGCGGCCCUGUAAGUCAGUGGUGAAAUACUCCAGCUUAACUGGAGGGGUGCCAUUGAUACUGCAGGGCUUGAGUUAAGUUGAAGUUGGCGGAAUUGACGGUGUAGCGGUGAAAUGCUUAGAUAUCGUCAAGAACACCGAUAGUGAAGACAGCUAACUAAAACUUUUUACUGACGCUGAGGCACGAAAAGUGUGGGGGAUCAAACAGG
rnacentral:rRNA from 1 species